AAUAGUACUGUUGCUGGCCUUUAUAAUAUGAGGUAUGUGCACGUACUAUCUCUAAUCUUUAUUCAUCCACCUGUGCAUUUUUUGUAGGAAGGUCUUUUAAAGGGUUGACCUUUUGUACAAAAGUUGGCUUGGAAAUUGGCCUUUUCCUAUGUCCUUAUAAACCUUAUUGAAGCAUGUCUUUGAAUGUCUUUUAUUGGGACUUUAUUGUUCCCUUUAAACUUGUACAACUUUUAGCAACGGAUCUCUUGGCUCUCCCAUCGAUGAAGAACGCAGCGAAAUGCGAUAAGUAAUGUGAAUUGCAGAAUUCAGUGAAUCAUCGGAUCUUUGAACGCACCUUGCGCCCUCUGGUAUUCCGGAGGGCAUGCCUGUUUGAGUGUCAUUAAAUUCUCAACUCUAAAAAGCUUUUAUUAGCUUAUUAGUGCUUGGAUGUGGGAGCUUUGCUGGCGUCAUUAAGAUGUUCGGCUCUCCUCAAAUUUAUUAGUGGAAGUCUCUUUAUUGGAGUUCAUCCUUGGUGUGAUAAUUAUCUACGCUUUGGAUAGUCCAAUGUUUCCAUUGAGAGAUUGUUCAGUUAAUUCUGGAUUUUGUAGUAUUGCGACUAGUUGCUUUACUUGAAAACUCUCAGAGGGAAAAGGGAAGUUUUUGCUUUCUAACUGUCUAAUAGACAACUUUAUUGACUAUUUGACCUCAAAUCAGGUAGGACUACCCGCUGAACUUAAGCAUAUCAAUAAGCGGAGGA
rnacentral:rRNA from 1 species